rnacentral:lncRNA from 1 species
UAAUCCCAUAUGGCCUCAAACCUUUGAGUAUAAAUAAAACACCUUUUAUUUAUCACCAUAUCGAUUACUCAUUAUUUGUUGUUUCGGGUAAUCAAUUUCUUAUUUGAAUUACAACUAUACUUGUCCCAUGCUCUUAGCAUGCACACAAUGUUUACCUNNNNNNNNNNNNNNNNNNNNNNNNNNNNNNNNNNNNNNNNNNNNNNNNNNNNNNNNNNNNNNNNNNNNNNNNNNNNNNNNNNNNNNNNNNNNNNNNNNNNCAACAAGAAAUCCCGAAAUCCCCUCUUUCUGACGCUCGAACUCGUAGAGUACCCCUAUGGACUCGCCGAGUAGAGGUCUAGUCGCCGAGUCCACAAUGGGACUCGCCGAGUACAUCAGGCAGGAGGCAAAAAAUCGAUUUUUUAAGGCUUGAACAAAUAGCCAAGGCAUCAAUACAAUAGAAACCAAUCAAGGCUCUGAUACCACUGAUGGGUUUUAGCCAUAAAAACAUCCUAUGUGCUCAUGCAAACCCUAAUGCUUGGAUCUAGGUUUCUCUAUUGUACAUGCAAUUCAUCCAAGACUAUAAACCCUAGUUCUAGCAUAUGAUAAUCAAUAUUAACAUGAUAAUGGGUAUAAGAUAUUACCUUGAUUGUUAUGUAGCAAUAAAAAUCACAAUUCCUCCUUGUAAUGACUUUAGAAAGCUUAGAGUAACAAAUGUCACUCCACUAAUGUCUCACUAACACCAAGAGCAAGAGGAUGAAGAAGAGAAGACGAAGGAGACACUCAAAAGCCGUCCAAAACCCUAAGGAGUUACUUCCCCACGUCUUGGUGCUCUAGGGAUCUUUACUUAGUGAAGCUAUUAGGGUUAUCAAACAAGGAAACCCUAAUUUGGAUGCUUAAGCCUUAAGCAACCUAUGGACUCCUUCCUUAAAGGCCCUAGGACGAUUUCUAAUGGGUUUCCCCAUAGAAUUCGUCCAACCCUUUAAUAUGGAGUCCAUUAGCUCAAUAUUCAACUAUCAUACAAUUGACAGUUCAAGUCCCUUAAGUUUAAUUAAUCUCUUUUAGCCACAAACUUAAUUCUUAUUAAUUCUUGACUAAUAUUAAAUAAACAAUAUGAUUUCUCCUUUAAUAUGUUAUUCUCAUAAUAUAUUAAUAAAUCAUAAUUAAUCCUUCCUCUCCAUAAUUCAUCCUAUCAAGUUGCUUUGGCGAAGGCAACCCAAAAGGACCAUGCACCAUCGGGUCAAGUACUUACCAAAAUAGUUAUGGACUUAGACACUAAUCCAACAAUCUCCCACUUAGAUAAGUCUAAUAACUAUUCUGCGUAUGACUUCAGAUCCUGAUCUGCAAUCGUAGCUUUCCAAAGCCGCUGUCAACUCUGAUCUUAUCAGAUACGCGUGUCCUUUAGAUAAGGGAUCAUAUAUUCCUCCGUUCUAGAUAUUGUAUAGACUGAGACAUGGAUCUAAAUCACUCUCUCUGUCUAUGUGUUGUUUCCCGAAUUCAGAUUUAUGACGACUGACAACAGACUAAAAUUGAACAUAACAAUUUAGCCCCGGCUUGGCCAAGCGCUUAGGUGCCAUCACUAAAUCAUCGAGGGGCCCACAUAUAUCGCUUUUAUCCUACUUUGGAUAAAAGGAACGGAUAAAAUUUGACUCAAUGCUCGCUUGCACUCACUCACCAAAUCACACACAACAAUAUGUUUUAUAGCACCAAGUUACUGGUGCAUUUACAUAUUAUCAAUGUGCAACCAACUCGCAAGAUACAACUCACACAUCUCGGUUUCAAGAAUAUAAGAUUUUAUCGUCUCACCAAUCACUCGUGAUGAAAUCCAUGAAGUGAUCCAAGUGAGCGUGGGUUUAAUCCAAUGCUCAAAUCAUAUUCAUAAGCACUCAUGAACGUUGCAGCAAACAUUUGCUUAUGUCUAAUGCUCUUUAGACAAUCUGCACACCAAUUCAUGACAGUCUUCAUUCAUACCUACUUCCAACAUAUGAACGACUAUGGCCCGUUCAAAUAAUUUGACUGUUCUGAACUAAUUAAAUUAUUCAGGAAGUCAAAACAUGCAAAGUGAAACACAAGAAUAAUACUAAUCCCAUACGGCCUCAAACCUUUGAGUAUAAAUAAAACACCUUUUAUUUAUCACCAUAUCGAUUACUCAUUAUUUGUUGUUUCGGGUAAUCAACUUCUUAUUUGAAUUACAACUAUACUUGUCCCAUGCUCUUAACAUGCACACAAUGUUUACCUAUGGUCCUUACUUUGUGAAAUAGGUCAAAUGAACACAUUUCCAAUAACACUCAUUUCACAACUCCCAAUCCUUAUCACAAGUGUAAGAAUAUCAAAUUCUUGCUACUUGUAGAAUACGUUAGAUUCUAACAUUUUAUGCAAUGAUCCUUUUGUAAUGUCACUGCACUAGGGUCACAAUGACUAUUGCCAAUGAAUUACAAAACUCUCUAUCGGAAAUUGUUACAAGACAAUUCCAUAAAUGUGAUGUUUCUCAGUCAAAGUACAUUCCUUUGAACAUCCUUUUGCAUAAAAGUUUCUAAUCUAGACAUAGAUUCUCAAUAUCCAACUCCCAAUAUGGAAACCUUUCCAUAUUUACCAUAUGACAACUUAUUCUUAAUAGAAUCUUAUCUAUUCAUAAUAAUGUCGAUAUGGUCCAUCCAAUACUAUACUUCCAACUACUCACAAGCGACCAAUCCUCGGCGAACUUUGGAUUGUCCUUUGAUAGUUGUUUAAUUAUCUUAGUCAAAACCGAUUCUAGUCCUUUUUCCCUCUAAAUGCGCUAGACAUUUG